GUGAAACAAAGACUGAAAAUUUGUACAUCAGCAUUUUAGCAUACACACGGCAUUUGUGGCAUUUCGAAGCAAGCAAUACGACUACUCAAGUCAAAAUUAAAUGCCCGGGUUGGGUACACAGUAGUGAGCAUAUAAACACGUGAUCACCCUGUAUGUAACAUUUGUCAUUGAAUGUUAGGCAACAAACAAUCGAUCAACCAAC
rnacentral:lncRNA from 1 species